UGAUGAGACUGCUCACUGAGCAGCAGGAAGUAAAGAUAUCCAACGCAGAGUGGGAUGCGGAACGAUGGAAAAAUGAGAGGAUGCAAGCCCGCGGGGAGCAGGCAGAGAAGGAAUCAAAUGAGUUCACAAAAGAAGUGGCAGGAUAUGCGAACUACAACAAAGUCAUCAUAGCAUCACCUGUGAUUGCAGUAGUAGCUUUUUUUUUUUGUAGUUUUCUGUCUCAUUGUGAUUUGGCAGAGGAAGGUACAUAAAAGAGGACGCUCCAGUGGCUUUUACUCACAAUUUCAUAACAAGAAAUCUUCAUCUGACCACGACAUUGAGGAUCUAGGUUUCUGGGGAAGGCGGCCUCUGUGGCUGAAGGAUAUGUAUGGUGGCCAGAAACAAGAAGGGGGAGCCUACUGCUGAGGAGGGAGCAGAGGAAAUCCUCCCCUUCCUCAGUGAGGAUUGAUGCCUGGGACUCUGCAGCUGAGACUGGAGGGGAAAGUACUUCACAAGAGGGACUCCAUCCUCAGGCUCAUUAACAUUGUUAAUAAAUAUUUUU